CCUACGGGAGGCAGCAGUGGGGAAUAUUGGACAAUGGGCGCAAGCCUGAUCCAGCCAUGCCGCGUGUGUGAAGAAGGCCUUCGGGUUGUAAAGCACUUUUAUCCGGAAAGAAAAGCUUUGGGUUAAUACCCUGAAGUCAUGACGGUACCGGAAGAAUAAGCACCGGCUAACUUCGUGCCAGCAGCCGCGGUAAUACGAAGGGUGCAAGCGUUACUCGGAAUUACUGGGCGUAAAGCGUGCGUAGGUGGUUUGUUAAGUCUGAUGUGAAAGCCCUAGGCUCAACCUGGGAAUUGCAUUGGAUACUGGCAGGCUAGAGUGCGGUAGAGGAUAGUGGAAUUCCCGGUGUAGCAGUGAAAUGCGUAGAGAUCGGGAGGAACAUCUGUGGCGAAGGCGACUAUCUGGGCCAGCACUGACACUGAGGCACGAAAGCGUGGGGAGCAAACAGGAUUAGAUACCCUGGUAGUCCACGCCCUAAACGAUGCGAACUGGAUGUUGGGUGCAACUAGGCACUCAGUAUCGAAGCUAACGCGUUAAGUUCGCCGCCUGGGGAGUACGGUCGCAAGACUGAAACUCAAAAGGAUUGACGG
rnacentral:rRNA from 1 species